UGGGGAAUUUUGGACAAUGGGCGAAAGCCUGAUCCAGCAAUGCCGCGUGUGUGAAGAAGGCCUUCGGGUUGUAAAGCACUUUUGUCCGGAAAGAAAUCCUUGGCUCUAAUACAGUCGGGGGAUGACGGUACCGGAAGAAUAAGCACCGGCUAACUACGUGCCAGCAGCCGCGGUAAUACGUAGGGUGCAAGCGUUAAUCGGAAUUACUGGGCGUAAAGCGUGCGCAGGCGGUUUGCUAAGACCGAUGUGAAAUCCCCGGGCUCAACCUGGGAACUGCAUUGGUGACUGGCAGGCUAGAGUAUGGCAGAGGGGGGUAGAAUUCCACGUGUAGCAGUGAAAUGCGUAGAGAUGUGGAGGAAUACCGAUGGCGAAGGCAGCCCCCUGGGCCAAUACUGACGCUCAUGCACGAAAGCGCGGGGGAGCAAACAGGAUUAGAUACCCUGGUAGUCCACGCCCUAAACGAUGUCAACUAGUUGUUGGGGAUUCAUUUCCUUAGUAACGUAGCUAACGCGUGAAGUUGACCGCCUGGGGAGUACGGUCGCAAGAUUAAAACUCAAAUGAAUUGACGGGGUCAUAGCUGUUUCCU
rnacentral:rRNA from 1 species